GUAGGGGGCAAGCGUUGUCCGGAUUUAUUGGGCGUAAAGCGCUCGCAGGUGGUUGGUCGCGUCGUGCGUGAAAGGCCCCGGCUCAACUGGGGAGGGUCGUGCGAUACGGGCCGACUGGAGGCCAGUAGGGGGAUGCGGAAUUCCGGGUGUAGUGGUGGAAUGCGUAGAGAUCCGGAGGAACACCAGCGGCGAAGGCGGCAUCCUGGACUGGUCCUGACACUCAGGAGCGAAAGCGUGGGGAGCGAUCCGGAUUAGAUACCCGGGUAGUCCACGCCGUAAACGAUGAGCACUAGGUGUCGGGGGUAUCGACCCCCUCGGUGCCGCAGCCAACGCGAUAAGUGCUCCGCCUGGGGACUACGGCCGCAAGGCUAAA
rnacentral:rRNA from 1 species